CGUCCCAGCUCAGGCAGCCGU
rnacentral:misc_RNA from 1 species